rnacentral:rRNA from 1 species
AGUGAACGCUGGCGGUAGGCCUAACACAUGCAAGUCGAACGGCAGCACAGUAAGAGCUUGCUCUUACGGGUGGCGAGUGGCGGACGGGUGAGGAAUACAUCGGAAUCUACUUUUUCGUGGGGGAUAACGUAGGGAAACUUACGCUAAUACCGCAUACGACCUACGGGUGAAAGCAGGGGAUCUUCGGACCUUGCGCGAUUGAAUGAGCCGAUGUCGGAUUAGCUAGUUGGCGGGGUAAAGGCCCACCAAGGCGACGAUCCGUAGCUGGUCUGAGAGGAUGAUACCCCAAAGGGGACAUGGGACACGGUCCAAACCCCAAGGGGAGGAAGGGGGGGGAAAUUUGGGAAAAGGGGGGAAAGCCGUAUCCAGCCAUCCCGGGGGGGUGAAAAAGGCCUUCGGGUUGAAAAGCCCUUUUGUUGGGAAAAAAAAGAAGCAGGUUAAAACCCCCCUGUUUGGACGGUACCAAAAAAAAAAGCCCCGGCGAAUUUGGU